rnacentral:rRNA from 1 species
UACGUAGGUUGCGAGCGUUGUUCGGAUUUAUUGGGCGUAAAGGGUUCGUAGGGGGUUGACUAAGUCUGACGUGAAAUCCCGGAGCUUAACUCCGGAACUGCGUUGGAAACUGGUUGACUAGAGCGUCGGAGAGGGGAGUGGAAUUCCUGGUGUAGCGGUGGAAUGCGUAGAUAUCAGGAGGAACACCGAAAGCGAAGGCAGCUCCCUGGACGACUGCUGACCCUGAGGAACGAAAGCGUGGGGAGCAAACAGG